AGGCGGGAACGCUGCCAUUUGGUUGAGCGUGACUUUUAGGCUUUGUGAAAAAAAGUCGAGCGUGCCACUUCGAGGCGCUAGCCGUUUAUCCUGCCACAAGGAUUGAGAACAAAGAACUAGGAGACAGAUUGGAUGGCCUCUGUUCCUCUGUGUUUACUGUGAGGAUGUCUCCUACUCACCAAAAAGAUAAAGUCAUGUAAGUAUUUGAAACAACCUACCCCAUAUCUUUAAUAAUUUUAGUGUAAUC
rnacentral:lncRNA from 1 species